AAUAGUCAGAGUAAAGGAAUCUUACCGCCCGAUUCUGGACAGACUCGUGUGUACUGCAUAAGUUUUAUAUCGCUGAGAGUUCCAUACUAAUAGGCCCCUUGCAAAAGUACGCCGCUCGCGGCCGCCGCCGCAACUACGUGCGCAGCCGCCAUGUUGUGGGGGUGCCGUCAGCUGCCGCUGCUGUCUCGGCUUUGUUGACUAAGGAAAGCGUCGCGUUGUUCAAGGCUCUUACGUUGCAAGUCUGCGUUAAGAAUAUUCAUUUGGCAAUGGUUCACUUCUACUGUGUUCCUGAAUGUCACCAGGAGGGAUACCGAUGCAAAAGCGGCGAGAAGGUCUCAUUUCACAAGUUCCCACGGGACAAGGUCAUGUUCAAAAAGUGAAUAAUCGCCAUAAGAAGGGAUCCAGGGCCAAACUUCGUGGUCGGCCAGUUUACGAGGGUCUGCUCCAAACAUUUCAAGCCGGAUUACUAUAUCCCAAACGUGGCCAGUGGGUGACGCUUUCUGAAAGACAAUGCUGCGCCGACGCAGUUUGUGUUUGCCAAGCCUGUGAAACAGCGUCGACCACCUAAGGAGCGAGCACUGCGCUGCAGCAAGAGUCUCACAAGCCGUCUUUUACAAGCAGCAAGCCCCGACACUGAUCUGAGUCAUCGUAAAAGUAACAGUGACCGAGAUAUGACCUGGGAACCUUCACAGCAAUCCGAAGGUGCAGGCCAACGAGCCAAGGGUCAUGCGACGCAAAACACUGCUGCAGAUAUGGUUUGUCACUCGUGCACUGCCACUUUCCAAAAAAUUCAACUGAAGCUAAAAGCAAGGUGCGAAGAAGUUGCACAGCUGUCUGCUCAUGUUCAGAACCUUAAAAGGGCUUUAGGUGAAGCAAGGAAGCUCAGAGAGGACAUCGUCGCAGUAAACGACAACAACAUUGAGCUGAUUGCAGAGAACAAAAAGCUAACUGAGCAGCUUGAACAUGUCAAAAAGCAGCUGCAAGAAAUGCAACCAGCAGCUGAAGCCAAAGAAAAUCGAGCAAAAAAAGAAAGAAAGCCAUUUUCACUUUCGAGGUUCCGUGAUGACGACAACAGCAUGCAGUUUUACUCUGGAUUAUCUAGCUACAAGCACUUUCAAUGCUUUCUUUGAUACCUGAAGCCAGGUGAAAAUUCCUGUAAUGUAUACUUGGAAAAUGAAAGCCUACCUGGGGACGUUAAGGGACGCCCACGGAAGCUUGAACCUGCGGAAGAACUUUUUCUCAUACUGAUGAAAUUGAAAACUGGAUUUUUCCACGUGCAUCUCGGGCAUAUUUUCGGUGUUUCUGCAAGUACAGUGUCAAGAGUGUUUUCUAGUUGGAUCAAUUUUAUGUACAUCCAGCUGGGAAAACUUACUCUGUGGGUGCCACGCAGUAAGAUUGACAGGCACAUGCCUCCUGCGUUUCGGGAGCUGUACCCAAGCACAAGGGCGAUCAUCGAUGCCACAGAGGUGAAGUGUGACGUACCUAGCUCCCUCGUUUUGCAGCCAGGUACGUACUCAACUUACAAGUCGGUGAACACGUUUAAGGCUCUCAUUGGCGUGGCACCAAAUGGUCUUCUUACGUUCGCAUCAGAACUUUUCAUGGGGUUGCUCUCCGACCGCGAAAUAGUGAUCAGAAGUGGUUUUCCGGACUUAAAAUUUGCUUCCGGCGACACUGUCAUGGCCGACAAGGGCUUUAAGAUCAAGGAUCUACUUCAAGAAAAAGGGGUCGGCCUGAAUCUACCACCUUUCUUGACACAAAAACAAUUUGAGGAGGAUGACGUGCAGCGGACACAAGAAAUCGCUUCACUCCGAAUUCACGUCGAAAGGAGAAUACAACGAAUCAAGUGCUACCACAUCUUUGAUAGGGCAGUACCACUUUCCCUGGGUCCACUGAUUAACCAGGUAUGGUCAGUGUGUGCCGUGCUGAGCUAUAUGCAAAGCCCUUUGAUCACCGAAAGUGAGUGACUGGUGGGAAAAAUUGCUUUAUUGCUGCUAACUCUUACAAAUGGAUUUGUUUAUUACAAAAGCUUACUUGCCUUUAUUGCAGAAAUGUUUAGCUCUUCAUGCAAUAUUCAUGUUUUCACCUGCUGUACGAAGAAUGGGAGCAAAGUGUCAAAAUAAAAAUUGUCUAGCAUAUGAACCAUGUCGUUCCACUCUUUUUCGGCGAAACGUACACGCGCUGCACUAUCAUAAAGUGCGGUCCGAAGACAACGAAGUCUGCCCACUGUGUGCGAGUUAUCCCCAUCUGUCCAAUCACCCGCUUGUAGUGUUCAUGGGAAACUUUCAGUUCAGGUUAUUAUUAUUGCGACCGACUGGAGAUCCAGCGACUCAACCGCAGGAUUUAUCCCCCGCCUCACAAAAAGCUCAGCACUGAAGAUGCCGUAGCUCUCCGACUUAUACAGACCAACACAUUUCCAAACCUACACAGAUACAGUAAAAUGUUCCCACAUACAUAUCGCGGCAUCUGCCCCUGGUGCGGCGACACACGCCCUACACUCUUUCACAUCUCGUGGGGGUGCGAGGGCAAACCUCAACACUUAAAGACGCCUAGCACGUCAUUUGAGCGGUGGGAGGUACAGCUGACCGGCGAUACCCUGGCGGGACAAGAAGCUCUCGUCCAGCAAGUACGUCGAGCAGCCACGGCCAGUGGAGUCCUGGAAUGAGGACCCCACCCACUCGACCUCAAGAGCAACCACCUCGGUGGUCCGAAUAAAUGUUUUUUCUCUCUCUC